UACGAGGGGGGCAAGCGUUGUUCGGAAUUAUUGGGCGUAAAGGGCGCGUAGGCGGCCACGCACGUCCGUUGUGAAAUCGCCCGGCUCAACUGGGCGGGGUCAGCGGAUACGGUGUGGCUCGAGCAAGCUAGGGGGCAAUGGAAUUCCCGGUGUAGUGGUGGAAUGCGUAGAUAUCGGGAGGAACACCAGUGGCGAAGGCGGUUGCCUGGAGCUUUGCUGACGCUGAUGCGCGAAAGCGUGGGGAGCGAUCCGG
rnacentral:rRNA from 1 species